GGCAGUGUGGUGUAGUGGUUAGAAUGUCAGACAUUCUGGGAGACCAGAGUUCAAAUCCCUGCUUAGCCA